rnacentral:lncRNA from 1 species
AAAGAGCAGUGAACAGAAGAGACAAAGACUUUUCUCUCCUCAUGGAACUUACAUUCUAGUAGGGAAAGAAAAGAAGGAAACGUACGAUAUAAUACAGGCAAAUGAUGAUGAGAUAUGGAGAAGGCAGCUGAGAACCAUGUAUCUGCUCAAUGGUGAUAUUAGAAGACAUGUGCAGUAGUUAUGAUUCCAUCCCAAGGCAACAAGUAAAGAAAGUGUUGGUCAAAAUAGAAUCUUCUGGAAUGACUACUCUUAGGAUGCUGCAAGAGAAGCAGGAAGAGUUGCGUAACCAUUCCCAAGAAGGGACUAAAAUUCCAGCACCUACGUUACCCCACAGUGUGUCCUGGAGAGUGAUUGUUGUGUGCUGAAGUGACAGAAGGUGCAUCAGCAUUGGCUACAUGUUUUUUAAUAAGUUAUAUAUCGUCCACACUCACCAACUGUAAAGCUGCAACACAGGGCAGAAGAACAGAAUGAUGGAGAGAGGAUGUUCACCACAGGGAAGAAACUAAGAUGCGGAAUUCUCUCAACUGAGUCCACUUGUAACCCACCCUCAGGACAGAAGGCAGAAAAUUUACAGAAGUGGAUGCAUGGGAAACUUGUUCAAAAAUGCACAGUUUUUAUAUGUGGGAUGCCUACCACAGCGUGGCUUGCCAAGCACUUCCAUGUCUGCACCCGGGAUCCGAACUGGCGAACCCCAGGCUGUCAAAGCAGAACGGGCGAACUUAACCGCUGCACCAUCAGGCCGUCCCAAGAUAGGUGCUAUUUUUAUCCCCAUUUGUCUGAUAAGGGGACUGAGUGUCAGAGAUGCAAUAACUUGCUCAAAGUCACAGCUAGUGCUAGAUCCAG